GAUGAACGCUAGCGGCAGGCUUAAUACAUGCAAGUCGAACGGGAUUGAGAAGCUUGCUUUUCAUGAGAGUGGCGCACGGGUGCGUAACACGUAUGCAACCUACCUUGUCCAGGGGGAUAGCCCGUUGAAAGACGGAUUAAGACCGCAUAACAUUGAGCUGUGGCAUCACAAAUCAAUCAAAUAUUUAUAGGGACAGGAUGGGCAUGCGCCCGAUUAGGUAGUUGGCGGGGUAAUGGCCCACCAAGCCGACGAUCAGUAGGGGAUCUGAGAGGAUGACCCCCCACACUGGUACUGAGACACGGACCAGACUCCUACGGGAGGCAGCAGUAAGGAAUAGUGGUCAAUGGGCGAAAGCCUGAACCAGCCAUGCCGCGUGCAGGAAGACGGCCCUACGGGUUGUAAACUGCUUUUAUACGGGAAUAACCCCGGUUUCGUGAAACCGGCUGAAUGUACCGUAAGAAUAAGGAUCGGCUAACUCCGUGCCAGCCGCCGCGGUAA
rnacentral:rRNA from 1 species